rnacentral:lncRNA from 1 species
ACAGUAGAAAAAUAACUUCCUAAAGUUCAUACGGUUUCCUUUUGUGAGGAAGCAAAUAUUUUUGGUGCAGUAAUUCAAGGAAAUAUGGAAAAUUGCAAGGAAAUGGUAAUUACUAUAUUCUUUUUUUGUUAUACACAGAAUAAACUCGAAACUGGUGUCGACUAAAAGCUUGAACACUAAUUCUUUCUCACUCCAUCAGCAAUUCAAUAGACUUUUUGGUUUUGCAAAAACAUAAUUUUACCUCACGAAGAUAAUUUAGGAAAAAAAAAGAAAAAGUACAUCAAACCAAAUUUAAGACAUCCUUCCAUUAUUUUCCUUCCUUCUGGCAAAGGUGAAUGACAAGUUCUUUGCGAGUGAAUUCAAGGCAAUAUGGUGUGGGAUUUAGUUGGAUCACAAGCUUUGUCUUGGCGCUUAAAGCCUCACACUUUGAUUUCAAUUGGGUGUCAGACAGAUUAUUAAAAGAGAGUAACAUAAAAAACAAUAAAGCUUGUAAAGGCACAAGUACUGCUUGAUCUAUAUUUCACAAUAAUUCACUAGCAAAGCAUGAGUGCAGUUAUAAUUAUUACUGCUCUAUCUAUCAUCAAUGGAGCUUAUUCAUAUGAAUUGCUAUGACUCUUGCUUCCUACUCACUUUUCUUCACAUCCAUGUACUCAAACGCGCGAACUUCUUGUGCUCUAACGCGAUAAAGUCCUCAGCUUCUUGGUUGACAUCUUCCUUAACUUCAUAAUUUUCACUAGUCUUCACAUGCUGAGGAUUAUAAUACUCGGAUUCUAUAAUUUGGGCCUUUGGAAUCUCAAGAGUACGCUUAUCCUCAUAAACAUUGUUGUAUCCAUAAUCGACAUUUGAAUGCCGUGGUUUGUGGUUCGAUGAAUACGGCAUUGGCUCCGUUGUUGUAGCAGAAACCUGGUAGGCAUACGAGGUAUCCCCCCACCUGACCCUAGGGUGCUUGGCAUGGUGUUUUGGGCUAUUGUAUGACAUCCUAUACUCACUUCUGUUUAGGGUUUUUGGUUAGAAAAUUAUUUUCAAACUUUGUCAAACUUGUGUUGUGAGGUUGUAUUAUAUAAUGAAAUGUGACGUUGUUG